rnacentral:rRNA from 1 species
CCCUUAGAGUUUGAUCCUGGCUCAGAACGAACGCUGGCGGCAUGCCUAACACAUGCAAGUCGAACGAGACCUUCGGGUCUAGUGGCGCACGGGUGCGUAACGCGUGGGAAUCUGCCCUUCGGUUCGGGAUAACAGUUGGAAACGACUGCUAAUACCGGAUGAUGACUUCGGUCCAAAGAUUUAUCGCCGAGGGAUGAGCCCGCGUCGGAUUAGCUAGUUGGUGAGGUAAAGGCUCACCAAGGCGACGAUCCGUAGCUGGUCUGAGAGGAUGAUCAGCCACACUGGGACUGAGACACGGCCCAGACUCCUACGGGAGGCAGCAGUGGGGAAUAUUGGACAAUGGGCGAAAGCCUGAUCCAGCAAUGCCGCGUGAGUGAUGAAGGCCCUAGGGUUGUAAAGCUCUUUUACCCGGGAUGAUAAUGACAGUACCGGGAGAAUAAGCCCCGGCUAACUCCGUGCCAGCAGCCGCGGUAAUACGGAGGGGGCUAGCGUUGUUCGGAAUUGCUGGGCGUAAAGCGCACGUAGGCGGCUUUGCAAGUCAGAGGUGAAAGCCCAGGGCUCAACCCUGGAAUUGCCUUUGAGACUGCAUCGCUAGAAUUGUGGAGAGGUAAGUGGAAUUCCGAGUGUAGAGGUGAAAUUCGUAGAUA